UGGGGAAUAUUGCACAAUGGGCGCAAGCCUGAUGCAGCCAUGCCGCGUGUGUGAAGAAGGCCUUCGGGUUGUAAAGCACUUUCAGCGGGGAGGAAGGCGUUAAGGUUAAUAACCUUGGCGAUUGACGUUACCCGCAGAAGAAGCACCGGCUAACUCCGUGCCAGCAGCCGCGGUAAUACGGAGGGUGCAAGCGUUAAUCGGAAUUACUGGGCGUAAAGCGCACGCAGGCGGUCUGUCAAGUCAGAUGUGAAAUCCCCGGGCUCAACCUGGGAACUGCAUCUGAUACUGGAAAGCUUGAGUCUUGUAGAGGGGGGUAGAAUUCCAGGUGUAGCGGUGAAAUGCGUAGAGAUCUGGAGGAAUACCGGUGGCGAAGGCGGCCCCCUGGACAAAGACUGACGCUCAGGUGCGAAAGCGUGGGGAGCAAACAGG
rnacentral:rRNA from 1 species